GACGAACGCUGGCGGCGGGCUUAACACAUGCAAGUCGAACGGAAAGGCCCUGCGUUUGUGGGGUGCUCGGGUGGCGAACGGGUGAGUAACACGUGAGUAACCUGCCCUUGACUUUGGUAUAACUUCAGGAAACUGGGGCUAAUACCGGAUAGGAGCUCAUGCUGCAUGGUGGGGGUGGGAAAGUUUCGGCGGUUGGGGAUGGACUAGCGGCUUAUCAGCUUGUUGGUGGGGGAGUGGCUUACCAAGGAUUGGGCGGGUAGCCCGCCCGAGAGGGUGACCGGCCACAUGGGGACUGCGAUACGGACCAGUCUCCUAUGGGGGGCAGCGGGCGGGAAUAUUGCCCAAUGGUCGCAAGCCUGAUGCAGCAACGCCGCGUUCGUGAUGACGUCCUUCGGGUUAUAAACCGCUUUCGCCUGUGACGAAGCGUUAGUGACGGUAAUGGGUAAAGAAGCACAGGCUAACUACGUG
rnacentral:rRNA from 1 species